UNCCACGUGUAGCAGUGAAAUGNGUAGAGAUGUGGAGGAAUACCGAUGGCGAAGGCAGCNUCCUGGGAUAACACUGACGUUCAUGCCCGAAAGCGUGGGUAGCAAACAGGAUUAGAUACCCCGGUAGUNCACGCCCUAAACGAUGUCGAUUAGCUGUUGGGCAGCAUGACUGCUUAGUAGCGAAGCUAACGCGUGAAAUCGACCGCCUGGGGAGUACGGUCGCAAGAUUAAAACUCAAAGGAAUUGACGGGGACCCGCACAAGCGGUGGAUGAUGUGGAUUAAUUCGAUGCAACGCGAAGAACCUUACCUGGUCUUGACAUGUGCGGAACCCUCCAGAGACGGAGGGGUGCCUUCGGGAGCCGUAACACAGGUGCUGCAUGGCUGUCGUCAGCUCGUGUCGUGAGAUGUUGGGUUAAGUCCCGCAACGAGCGCAACCCUUGUCAUUAGUUGCCAUCAUUAAGUUGGGCACUCUAAUGAGACUGCCGGUGACAAGCCGGAGGAAGGUGGGGAUGACGUCAAGUCCUCAUGGCCCUUAUGACCAGGGCUUCACACGUCAUACAAUGGUCGGUACAGAGGGUAGCCAAGUCGCGAGGUGGAGCCAAUCUCACAAAACCGAUCGUGGUCCGGAUUGCACUCUGCAACUCGAGUGCAUGAAGUCGGAAUCGCUAGUAAUCGCAGGUCAGCAUACUGCGGUGAAUACGUUCCCGGGUCUUGUACACACCGCCCGUCACACCAUGGGAGUGGGGGAUACCAGAAGUAGGUAG
rnacentral:rRNA from 1 species